AAGAGCCGCUCGCUGUGCAGUGCGGUCGGGCGCUGCGCGGUUGGCGGUUCCCACCCUGCCCCGCAAAAGUGAGGGCGCAAAAGGGGCGCAGCGCAGCGCAGCGCAGCGGCGGGCAGCGGCGCAGGGCUGCGGGCGGGGAUCCCCCGGCGUGACAGAGCAGAAAUGCCCGCUCAGGGGAAGCGGCCGAGGGACGCGCACAGAGCGCAUCGCAGGGCGUUGCUGGUGCAGCCUCUUCAGGCCUGAACCUCGGUGUAACAUCGCAUCUGACAUCAAGCCUCCUUCCCUUCCCAGCAUCAAGGAAGACUGAAGACCACCUAAGGCACCUUCUGUUACUGGAGAACAUCCCUACAGUGGGCACAGAGCACGAGGGACAGCCUCCUGCUCAGGGAAUCAGAAGUCUUUGCUGAAGAGACCUCAGAAGAAAAGGCCAUCACCUGUGCACACCACCACUGUUGGGCUUCAGAGAUGGUUAACACCAUUCCAAAGAGAAACCUGUUUCUCUAGCUAUAAACAUCAGGCACGAGACUGAUAGUUACACAUGGCACUUGCAGGUGUCUGGAAUUACUCCAGUUCAUUUAUUUCAGGGUUGGGUCCUAUUUUUCUCCUGAGCUAAUUCGUGCAACCACAAAGUCACCACAGCCCUCAUCUCCUGGCACAUGAAAGCUGUAGGCUGACUAAUUUAUCAGUACCCCAGAAAAUGAAGAACACUUCAAAAUUUAGGACUAACACAAAUUUCCUUGCAGAAACAGAAAUAAAUAAAAUAUGUAAACAGCAUCUGCAGCCAUGUGCUCAAGGUAAUAAUUAGGGAGAAUUAUCUUUGGUGUAUGUAUUGGAACAACAUAAUUGAAGCUAAGAAAUUAUAUGUCCAUAUUAAAGAGACACAGAUAAUCUUCUGCUUGGGAAAUUAACACAACUGAAGCAACCAUUUACAUGGCUAGAAGAAUCUCAUGCUGAAUUAUCACCAUUGUGGGUUUGCACUUAAAUUCUAAGUAAAAUGAGAACAAAAUGCAUAAAUUUUACAUACUGCUUUAUGUACCUUGAGUACUCAGAAAACUACCUUGAGUACUCAGUGUGGAGCAGCUGCCAUCCUUCAGCAGUUCUCUGCUUUCUCCCUUGAGCUUGGACAGUGGAGAGCUGCAACUGCGUGGUGGGACUGCUUUCAAUGGGCCUCAGAUGUUCACGGCCUUAUAGAGAAGGUCCUUCUCCCUAAAAGACUGGGGAAGCAACCUGGGCAAACCACUAAGCAUGAUCUGGGGAGUGAGAGAGAAGAAGUGGCUCAUUUACAGAUUGUCAAGUUACUUAUAUCAUAUUUGCAAGUCCAGACUGCUUUCAUAACAGCUAAUUCAGUAAAUAAAUCUCACAAGCUC
ensembl:lncRNA